ensembl:lncRNA
CUGGCUCUACCAGGCUCUGGGCAUUUGUCUAGGCUGGGAUCUCUUGUGAGUGGAGUAAAGGUGGAGACUCUAUGGGCUUUACCAACUGAUGUUCUGCUAGAAGCUUUACCUGCUCUGAGCCUUCAGACACCUGGGCUCACCCCCCCACAGGUCAACACUAUCAUCUCCAAACUCUGGGUAAGAAACUCACUCUAACAGAUUUUCUCUAUAGGCUUCAGAACAUGAACAUCUCAUGUUGGAGUAUUAAUUAAGAGAAACAGCUGUAAAUCCACAGUUAAAAGAGCUUCAAGUAUGAACACCAGACUGGAUAUUCAUAACCAUACAGUAUGAUAAUUAAAUGUGCUCCAUUGUUGUACCAGAUGAGAAGCAAAAGCAAAAAAGCUUGCACCCCUUCAAUGGAAUAGAAUAAUUUCUGGUUUUGAAUAUCUCUUUGAGUGUCACAUAAGAUUACAAAAAAUGUAUAGUGUCUUUUCACCAGAUAUGUUUUGCAUGCUGAUCUUGAAUAUGUAACAGCACAGGCAACAGAAAUGAAUGUGAAUUUCUUCUUCCAUGCUUUCAGGCUUCUAGUUCUGUGUCCCAGUGGAUGGAUAAAGUCAAACCUUUGCUCUCUAGCACUCCACUCCUGAGUGUGAUUGCCCAAGUCCCUCUGCUGCUGAUCAAAGACACUGCUGUACACACUCGCCUCUGGAACACACAGCAGGCGAAAGCUCUCUUUAAAGAGGCUGUCGUCUCUCAUCCAAGUCUCUCGCUACAAGAAUUUCUAUCUCUGGGGACACUGGCUACAGGAGUGAAUUGCUUGGACCUUAGACGAUUGUUCCAGAACCUGGCAUCUCUAUCGCCUCUACGUGACAUUAUGACAUUUCUGAGAGAGCAGCCUGUGCCACUCCACCCCUCACUGGUAUCUAGUAAACCUACAUUCAAAUUCAGGACCUAA